rnacentral:rRNA from 1 species
UACGUAGGGUGCAAGCGUUGUCCGGAAUUAUUGGGCGUAAAGAGCUCGUAGGCGGUUUGUCGCGUCUGCUGUGAAAACCCGAGGCUCAACCUCGGGCCUGCAGUGGGUACGGGCAGACUAGAGUGCGGUAGGGGAGAUUGGAAUUCCUGGUGUAGCGGUGGAAUGCGCAGAUAUCAGGAGGAACACCGAUGGCGAAGGCAGGUCUCUGGGCCGUAACUGACGCUGAGGAGCGAAAGCGUGGGGAGCGAACAGG